rnacentral:rRNA from 1 species
AGCGAACGUUAGCGGCGCGCUUAACACAUGCAAGUCGCACGAGAAAGGGCUUCGGCCCCGGUAAAGUGGCGCACGGGUGCGUAACACGUAGGCAAUCUUCCCUUGAGCGGGGGAUAACGUUUCGAAAGAGACGCUAAUACCGCAUAAGACCACGACGGGUUUGCUCGUUGCGGCCAAAUCUGGCGUCUUCACGAAAGCUACCACUCAAUGACGAGCCUGCGGCCCAUCAUGCUAGUUGGUAGGGUAAUGGCCUACCAAGGCGAAGACGGGUAGGUGGUCUGAGAGGAUGAUCAGCCACACUGGAACUGAAACACGGUCCAGACUCCUACGGGAGGCAGCAGUGGGGAAUAUUGGACAAUGGGCGAAAGCCUGAUCCAGCGACGCCGCGUGAGUGAUGAAGGCCUUCGGGUCGUAAAGCUCUGUUGAGGGAGAAGAAAACAGUUAGAGCGAAUAGGUCUAACUCUUGACGGUAUCCCUUUAGAAAGCACCGGCUAACUCUGUGCCAGCCGCCGCGGUAA